rnacentral:rRNA from 1 species
AUGGGUGGCAAGGGCGGCGGUGGAGGUGGCGGCAAAGGGGGAGGAGGAGGCGGUGGCGGUGGAGGUGGAGGCGGCAGGAGCGUCGGAGGGGGAGGAGGAGGAGCAAAGGGAGGCGGAGGCGGAGGCGGAGCGAAGGGGUCAGGCGGCAGCGGGGGCGCCGGGAAGUCGUCCGGCACUGGCGGUGGCAGCGGCGGCAUGAUGAAGGCGCCCGGCGGCGACGGCGCCUACAUCUCCCGUCCCGGGUUCGAGUCCAACCCGCAGGGCUACUUCCAGGGCCUCCACGGCGCCGGAGGAAAGUAG